rnacentral:rRNA from 1 species
UACGAAGGGGGCUAGCGUUGUUCGGAUUAACUGGGCGUAAAGGGUGCGUAGGCGGGGUUUUAAGUCAGGGGUGAAAUGCCGAGGCUCAACUUCGGAACUGCCUUUGAUACUGGUUGUCUUGAGUCCGGGAGAGGUGAGUGGAACUGCGAGUGUAGAGGUGAAAUUCGUAGAUAUUCGCAAGAACACCAGUGGCGAAGGCGGCUCACUGGCCCGGAACUGACGCUGAGGCGCGAAAGCGUGGGGAGCAAACAGG